AGUGGAAUGAUUUGCUAGGACCAAGUUUUUUGGAAAAUGUUAAGAUUAAUUAAUCUUAACAUUUUCCAGAAAACUUGGUCCUAGCAAAAUAGCUUAC
rnacentral:pre_miRNA from 1 species